rnacentral:lncRNA from 1 species
UGUGUGUGUUACAAUUUAACGUUGCGUCGUUUGUUUUCUCUUAUUUUUUAGUGUAAAUUGACAUUGCGAUAAGACGUGUCACGGUACUUGUCUAUCCCAAAUUCAUGUAUUUGGUUUUGAUGUUAUAUUUGUUAUUCUCGUGGGAUUUUGUCUGAUGCUUGGUCCGUUUCUGUGUGUGUUAGUUACAUUGUAGUGUUGUGUCGUUGUUCUCCUCUUAUAUUUAUG